AGCUCAGUUGGUAGAGCAGAGGACUGAAAAUCCUCGUGUCACCAGNUUCAAAUAA
rnacentral:tRNA from 1 species